GGUGAGGUGGCCGAGUGGUUGAUGGCGCACGCUUGGAAAGCGUGUUUAGGUGAAAGCCUAACGAGGGUUCGAAUCCCUCUCUCACCGCCA
rnacentral:tRNA from 13 species